GCCGACUUAGCUCAUUCGGUAGAGCAACCGCCUUGUAAGCGGUAGGUGAUCGGUUCGAAUCCGAUAGUCGGCUCCA
rnacentral:tRNA from 1 species